rnacentral:rRNA from 1 species
AUACGGAGGGCGCAAGCGUUGUUCGGAAUUACUGGGCGUAAAGCGCGUGUAGGCGGUUCGGCAAGUCGGGUGUGAAAGCCCAGGGCUCAACCCUGGAAUUGCAUUCGAAACUGCCGGGCUAGAGUCCCGGAGAGGAAGGCAGAAUUCCCAGUGUAGGGGUGAAAUCCGUAGAUAUUGGGAGGAAUACCAGCGGCGAAGGCGGCCUUCUGGACGGUGACUGACGCUGAGACGCGAAAGCGUGGGGAGCAAACAGGAUUAGAAACCCCAGUAGUCC